UUAAGAGAAAUACAUAUGUAGAAGAUCUGAUUGAAGAGGUGGUGGUUUCCCCAGAACAAGUUAUGCAAUGGAUUAGAAAAGGAGAAAAAAAUCGCCAUUAUGGAGAAACAAAAAUGAAUGAACACAGCAGCCGCUCUCACACUAUCUUCAGAAUGAUCAUUGAAAGCAGAGAACGAAGUGACCCUGCGAAUGCGAACUGUGAUGGAGCAGUGAUGGUAUCUCACUUGAACUUGGUAGAUCUGGCAGGCAGUGAAAGAGC